GAUGAAUGGAACAUAGAAAUAUAUACUAUGUCCUACUACAAAAAAGUCUUGCAAUAGAAACAGACUUGUCAUGCAUCUGUAAUAUCACGAUUAGAGGAGAUGUUAUGAAACGUCAAUAAACCUGGCCAGAGAGACUGGAUCAAGAUGCAUUUGCCAUGGUCCAUCUGUUUAUUAGUCUCCUAAUGGGUCUGUCAUAGAGCAAUGAGGCAGAACAUCCAGGUAGAGGACAAGAUAUGCUAACUGUAGCCUCCAGUACCAAAUAUCAUCAGGGUCACCUACUGUGUCCUUCAACCUAAAACUGGAUGAUAUCAGUGGUGUGCAUGAGAGAGAAAAGUGAGGCUAAUGAGAUUUCUCAGGUAGCCAGACAGCGAUGCAGCACCCCCUUCUCCCUCCCACCCCCCAAAUCUUCUGGGAGAGAUGACACGCCACCAGUCUUCCCACAGUGCCCUGUGCUUCGAAGAGUCACAGGAUCAUGGUAAAAAGAGGAAGAUAGAAGAGACAGCUGGUUGAUGGAAGCUGCUGCUCCAGAACCAAAUGAGGCCAGGAGAUGAAUCUGUCCCAUCUCUACAGAUAGGAGUUGGUGAUGCACCUGCUGCAUUGAAUUGUGACUCCCGACGCCCCCAGCAUGAAAUAUAGUUUGCUAUUUUGGAAG